GGCGGGUCGGGUCCGGGGAAACGGCGGGCAGUGCUCGGGCGGCCCUCGGGGACCGCGGCUUGCCCGGCGCUGGGGGCCGGCGGGUGCCCAGCUCGCCGCGGGGAGAGGACGGAGCUGGUUCUCCGCGAACCUAAAUCUAGUCGCAUCCAUACGGAGCAGCCGGGCUACCGGAAAUUCUCUUACUCACCUAAGCGUUUUUACCACCCAGCAUUCCGGAGUUCCUCAUUAUUUGUCGGAUUUCGAUUCGGCACACUGCACAUCUGCAGACACUGGUUUGUGCUCCUUCUUUGGGCACGGUGUAUAUACAACUCCGGGUGUGUAUAUUACUCUUGGCUUGUAUAGCGUCGUAUUUAUAACUUCUGUGCCCUUCUGUGUUAUGUUACAUUACAUUUUAAGUUCUUAGAACUAUUUUGAGGGUCCUCAUAAUUUUUUGAUUUAUGUAGAGGUGUUUUUAUUUCUCUCUUGUAAAAAGUCAAUGACAUUGACCUCCAGUAAAGAAAAAGGCCAAGUGGCAACAGUAUUCUCAUGGCUAAGGUCUAUAAAAACAAAUGGAAAAUUAAAAUCUUCCUGUGUGUUUUUUGAGCCACUUAGAAUUUAAUUUUCUCUCUGAUGUAACAUUGUAGGAGCCUACAUUCCACAUGUGUGUACACAGACUCACACAACUUUUAUGCUCUGUUCCUAUGAAAUUUUUACGAACAAACUCGGUUUUCAGCACAAUUUUUGGUAGCCAUUGCCCACGAAAAAUAAGUGUUAUUUCUUUCGCAGUUAGGAGAAAUUUACAAAUGCUGUUACAGACCUCUGCAUAUUUUUUUCUCCUUCAGCCCUUUAUAUCCAAACACUUGCAUGCAGCACACUAACAUAUAUUAAUAGCUAUUGCUCUGACACAGCUCCUGACACAGGUCAGGAGAUACAGACCUUGACAGAUCAGAAUUAUCACCCAUGUGUGGUCCCUCAGGUGCUUCUUUGACUUGGGGGACAGUGGAUGCAGUCAGGCCUUACUUGGGCCUGUUCUCAUGAACCUAUUCUGGUUGGGAGCUUUUUUUGAAACCAAAAUUUCAAGGAAAACUUUUUGCAUGUUUCUUUUCCCUAUAUGCUUGUUUUUCCAAAGAGCCCAGUCUAGUGGCCACAAAAAGGAAAAGUACCUGAAAGUCAGGAGUAAAUGCAAAGAUACUGUUACCCCUUUAGGAGAGAACCCACUCCGCUGGCCUGUUUGCAGCCGUAUUCCCCCUGCAGAUCUGUAGCCCUUAACGAAAUGAAUCUGCAGUGAAAUCACAGAAAUCUGAUUCUAAUCAUCCGCCCUGGAACAAGUCGGCGCUACAAGAAGACCAGCAUAGUGUAAAAAUACUUUAGGCACGCGGAGCCGUAUCAUUAACAUUAAAACCUGAUGGUGUGAAAGGGGAACGGGGAGCAGAUUCCUGUGCCUCCUCAGCCCACUCCUUCCAGCUUGUGCAGCUUGUUAGGCAUCUCUGGCAAGCAGCGAUUUUUGUGGAGGUUGGUUGUGUUGCUAGUCGGGCUCCUGGGCUUGCUAGUAGGCUAAAGUGAAGUUUUCUCUUUUAUACCAGAGUUUCUUAACUGUGCUGUUCUUUGUUAGACUGGGUAAACAGCUGAGUUUAGCUUUUGUCAGGUUUAACAUAAUCUGGAUUCUUUUUUUUUCCAGAAACAAUUAGUUUCUUCCUGCCUUUAAGUAGCUCUGGCAAGUUUUGUCUCCCCGAAACCUAUUUUGGAGCACUAUACAGCAUAAUUUGAGUUACUACCUUUUCAUUUGCGUGUACCAGUCAAGAUUCAGUGGAAGCCUGGCUUCUGUAGAAAGUGAGUGCUCAGCAUUUUAUGGUCACUAAGGCUUGUUAUAUGUGUACCUUUGAGCUUCCAACUCCCUAGCCAUUUUUAGAGGUUUUUUUUUUCCUAAUGGCAUUUGUCAAGGCGAAAGGACACAUUUUUUAAGCAAUAUUCAUCUGUUUGCACUAGUGUGGAUAUAGUUGUCUAUAGCUGUGAGAACUCUGUUGACAGACUGGUUGGUACUAGGAAUGUGGGUUUUUGUCCAUUCAUCUACAUUAUUUGGAUUAUUUAGAUGGUAGCCAUACACACUGCAUUGACAGGCACUUUCCAAUUUCUGUCUGUGCCCCAAAGAACAUACAGUACAAUGCAGAUGUACUUCUCAGCAUCUGGUUUACACUGUGGAGUUUAAACAUUCUCUCUGAAUUAAUGUUCAGGCUGGAAGGGAACAUUCCCUCAUGCCCCAAGUGACUUUUUGUGGGUCAAAUUACCAAGUAAAAAUAUUUUAUUUUUAAAUAAUAUUGCUCUGAAGGCUGGGUUGGGGGUAGACCAUGGUUUAGCACUUUCCAAAUGCUAAAGAAGAUGGUUCAAGCUUCUGCUGCAAGUUGUGGACAAACUCUUAAAUUAUUGUUUUAGCUCUGAGGCUUUCAUAAUGUUCUGUGCUCUCUGGGAUGCAGAUUCAAUUAUUCCCCCCUCCCCGGUUAAUAAUGGGGCUUUGUUUUAUUUUCACUUAUAAACUUUAUGCCUCUCUUGCUAAUCUUUCUGUGUGUACAAAUAUGCUUCCUUUGUCAGUCAGACUUGGCAAUACUUAGACCACACUAAACUAGUUCUGGGCAGUACAGCAAGGCUUUCUAUUUAUCAGGGCCUUUCCGGGGAAGUUUGUUACACUGUAGGGGUGACAUUUUCAGACUUCUGAAAGAGUUGGUAAAUAUUUGGCAGGUUUUACUCCUUCAGAAAAAAAAAAAAAAAUGGCCAUAUUUUAUCUGUGAUAAGGCCUGAAAGAGAACUAUCUAGGCAUUAAGGUUUGAGUUGUCAGGCAGAAGGGUGGGGUUCGUGCAGGAUAUUCUUUGAAUUGCCCUGAGUGAAGUCAAAUGUUUGCCUGCAAUUUAAGAACCACUGUUCCUCUAUAUUUGCAAGUAGAGACCUUCGAGCCAGGGCUGUAUUUUAAGUUGCAGGAGGGCACAGAGCAGAGCAAGCCUGUGAUGUCUGGGUUACAGAUAUAUGUAACCAGGGACAGGUUGGAGUCAAAUCGUGCCUGGGAUCUGCUCUGUUGUUCAGUACAGACCUUUCACAGAAUGCUGGACACGCUUGUGUUAGAGCCUUGUGCCCGUGGAGAGGGCUGAGCCCCACAGGAGUGGAGCAGUGAGUGUGUGCCCAGCUUGCAGGCACUUUUCCCUCUGCUCUUGGCUCCAUCUGCAGAUGGCAAAUGGCAAGCUUGGGCUGUGCUCCAUGCCAGCUCCUGCUCCAGGCCAGCUCUUCAGCACUCAGAGGCAAACCAGAUGGGGAGGGGAAUGUGCUUCUCCUUCCCACUGCUGGCCUACUUGAGAAAAUCCUUCCAGAUCCUGCUGAUUUCAUCACUUCCCUACCUGAGGACCCAAAAGUGCCAGGUCCCAGAGGGGAGGGGAAGAGGGGAGGAGAGCCUGGAAGAGGCUGCAGGAUGGCAGAUGCUGGCCCACAGGUGGGGACGCAACUCUGAGGCUUUGGCUCCUUGCCACAGUCUGAGUGACAACCCUGUCAAAGGUAAAUUGGUGGCACCUGUGUGACUUUCCCAAAGCACUUUGCUGUCUCCUUUUGCCAGUGUGAUUCUUGCUUGGUAGAGGGGUUUCUCUUGGGCUUGAUUGCUCUGGGGGAGCAAGUGAAAAGAAGGAGGAUCUAUGUGAUGGUACUGCAAGAAGGGUUGCAACUGCUCAGAUCCCAAAGAGGGGAGUGUCUGAUGGCUGGGGUAGGGAAACCCUUCCUUGCUGAAGGCAGAAUACCUCUGUCAGGUCUCAUUGCCAGCCUGGGCAUUUGUGUGAGCCAGCAGCAGUGUGGAAAAGAAAUAAUGUGGCUGCAGACUGAAAAAAAUGAGCCAGGGUGAUGCUGGUCUGGGGACAGCUUCCCCUUCCCAACUAAUGGGCUUUGGAUUCAUGACAUAUUUCUUUAGCACUGAGGAAUCAAAAUAUUUCCAAGACAUUGCUCAGUAUAUUUGAUUUUGGAUAAACUUCCUGAAUUUUAUUUGGAUCUCGGUGGCCUGUCAGUUUAUGAGGCUUAGGCUGUUGGGUUUUCCCUUCUAUGGCAGCUGGCAAUAGGCCUUUGUUCUUUGUGUCUUUUGGGAGAAAGUCCUUCAUGGUGUCCCUGUUGUCCACGUGGAUGGAUGUUGUGCCCACAUUUGCAGGAUUUCAGUAUUUUCCCAAUACAGAUUUUUUAGUGACACCAUUUAUAGGUCCAGGGCUGGAGUUGUGACUCCCAGAUCAUGCCUGAUAGAGCUGUAAUUCGUUAUUAUUGUUAUUUUAAAUACAAAGCAUCCCACCUGACCAAGGCUUUGGACUCCUGCUCAGGCAGUUACUGUGCAGAACUUGGCCAGUGGUGGGCAGAUGUAAGCCCAUGGAGUAAUGCCCACUGCUCCAGGUGGGAUUCUGAGAAGCAAACAUCACCUGAACUGUCCAAUCUGCUGGAAGGGUUAGUCCUGGACAACUGGAGGCAGAGCAGGAUCUUUUCCCAUCCUUUUGCUGGUGAAAUCCAAUGAAAGAAAAUAGUAGCAAUCCAGUUCUUGCAACUGGUUUGAAUCUCUAUAAAUGCACUUCACUUUUUUUUUUCUUUUCCCGUUCCAAGUAUGGAAUUUCCUUAAACUAUAAAAUUUGAAAGCAGAUUUGAUUCAACAAAAUCUCUCUGCAUGAUAACUUUUGAAGUAUGGUGAGGAACUCAAUUUAAAACACUUUAAUUCAAUCAGCAGGCUGUAGGAACUAAUUUACAGUGGCCCACAGGCCUGCUAAAAUUAGUCAUGGUUUUAUGUUUUUGGAAAAAAACUCUUUAGGGGUGGCUCUGUUGUUACAAAGAACAGGACUUUUGAGUAUAUGACUGUUGGUAGGGUUAAAUUCAAAUAUGCAAGUGCAGUAGUUUGAGGAAUAAAUUCCAGAAGCUGUUCAAGGCUGAGCUGCAUUACAGAGCAACGAUCAGGUUGGGUUAGGCAGAACUGCCGUGGACUGAAACAUCUGGAAUAAUAUCACAUUUCCCCAAAGUGGAAUUUUCUUUAAGAGCAGCAGCAAUUGCUGAUAUUUGAGAGGGUGGAGCGAGCAGUAACCUACAAAUGGCUGGAAAAUGAAUUAAGAAUUUAUAGAGUGAAAUAUUGAGACUUUGUCAGGAAUCAUGAUUUUGAUUAUGAUCUCUUGUUUAAAGCAUCAGCUAAUUCUGAGAACUGGGGCUUUCCAGGCUGUGGGGAUUGGUUGGGCAGUUGCUGCCGCAGCCAGAACUCGGCUCCUUGGCACUUGGCUUUUUAGUCUUUUGAUGAAUUCCGGUGAAACAAGUUGUGGCAAACUGAUUUGGAGCUUUGGAGCCAGAAUAUGCAUGAAAAAUCUUGUAUGAAAUGAGAGAUUGUUUUGUAAAGAAUUUGAAUGUAGUUCAGUUAAAAUAUGCUUGAUUUAAAACUGUAAAUGCUAUUUUGAUUUUUAAAAGAAGGAUAAAGGUUUCCUCAAUUCCUGCAUUAUGGGUGUAUUUUACUCUUGAAGGAUACUAUAGAAGACUUGAAGUCUCAGUUGCAUAUUAAAGUACUUUUUAUUAAAAAUCUGCUUUGACUACUGAGAUAUUUUGUAUGAUUGUGACUUCAUCUGUUAGUUUGGAAGGAAAUAUUUCUGGAGAAGAAAAACAUUUCCAUGCAAAUGACAGUUGUACAGAACAAGAAACAGAAAGGUGCUUAAUCACAAGUGAGCUCACCCAUUUUAAUUUACCUUGGACCAUAACACCAAAAAAAUAAUGUCAUUUGGAAAAAAACCCCUAAUCAGAUAUUUACAAUAUCCAUUUUUUCCAUCUUGUGAAUUGUCCAACACUGCAGUUAAUGGUUUACAUCAAGCUUUCAGUACAUUAAGAAUGUGUGCUGCUGUACACACCCCAAAACCAGCCUGAAUCCACAUUUUAGAAACAACCUAAAUGAAGGGGGAUUUUAAACAAUUUCACUGAACAAUAAAAUUCAACUGAGUAACUUAAGCCGAAUUUCUUAAAUCUGAGUCACUAAAGAGCUCCCAAAAUGUCAUGCACAAUAGAUUAUAACAAAGGAGCAGAACUUCUCUGAAUCUUUGCACCGUGUUUGUUACUGCAACUCAAAGUGCUACUUUGAGGUUAGAAUUACUUUACUCCAAGUCCCAGCCUAAAUUUAGCUCCAGGAUUCACAUACUGCACUCACUUCAUUGGAAGAGUUUGGUUUUCUUGCAGCAUAUUUGAGCUAGUUUUGCAUCUCCUUGGGGAAUAAAUUACAGCCUGAAUGAGAGCAUUCACACGUAUUUAUGGCAUUAAUGCUCUGUGCAUUAAUGAGGGGCUGGGUGCAGUCAGCCUUUAAAACUAAUGCUACCUCUAGCCCCCUUCCAGGGCUUCAUUUAAUUUUUGUAUCAAUUGCCAUCAAGGGCAGUGAGAAACAAUGAAACAUUUUUUAUUCUGACAAUGUUUCUUUGCAAACAUAGCAAUAAGUUUCUCACUUUAGAAUUUCUAUCAGAGUGAACUUUUCCGCCCCCCCAAGCCCAGCUCCAUGUAACUGCACUUGUACAGCAAGUUGUUUCACAUGCUCCAAAUAAAAAUGUAAUAAAUCCAAAGUAAGAAAAAUGCUUAUGAGCCAGUUUAAGGUGUUAUGUAAUACUAGUUACAUAAAGUUUUGGAUGUCUUUAUACUUUUAUGGCAUUAUUGCCUUCAAAAAGAACACAAACUGCAAUUUAAUUUCAAAACAUUUGGUAGUAGUUUUGUCUUAAAAUACAUAAAUUUGGCUUGUAGAUGUGGCUACAUCACGGAAUGAAUUUAGAGCUCUCCAAAGAAACAGCAGGUGUGCCCAGUGCUAAAUAAAACAUCUCCUGUAUGCCAGCAGAGAUCUGAUCUGCACCAGCCCAGGAUUUACCCCGAGCUCUAAUUUUGGUGACGGGUAAUGUUUUCAGACAAACAGUCACGAGCACACUUUCAUUUUAUAGCACUAUGCUCAGAACUGUUGGGAAAUUCUGAUACUUUCAAACCUUCUCUAACUUUGAAGUGUGUUUUCCACACAGAACUAUUUUAUAACUGGUCAGCUAUCAGUAUUAGAUCAAUGCCCGAUUACAGUCAGUUGUUUGCAGGCAGCAAUCAGAGUUUCAGCGCUUAAAAAUACAUCUAAAGAGGCUGUUGAAAAACACAGUAUGAGCUGUGCUGUAGGUUAGCUUGGAUGGGAUUAUAAUCCCUGAAACUCUGACCUGGUGGGCUGCAAACAUAAGGAUUUAUUUAAAAGCUGUGGUCAGGAUCUUGUGUUACCUGUGCCUCUCUUGCCUGUGGCCUGCACAGGAGGUGAACGGAAUCAGUCACCAGCUGAGCUCUUCCUCUCCUGUCUCCUGUCCCGCCUGAGUGAAUUCACACCCGGAAGGAAACACUUUAGUGAAAGAAAUGUAGUACAUCCCAAUACAGCCUCCAGAAAUAGUCUCCCACCUGAAUGAUUUCCACAGCAACCAAAGAUGUUACUUUUAAUGAAAUUUGCUGUUACUUCACUAUUCCAGGCACAGCUUUGAAUGUAAGCAGCGCUGCUGAGCUAUUACCUGACAGCCAGAAGCCUCUUAUUCAUUAGAAGUAUUUCUAAAGGGAUAGAAUUUCCCCUUUUGCCAAGCAUUUCUUGUGCCCCCUGUGUACUGAAGGGCAGUCAUGAACCUGGACACUCACAGAGCAUUAACUGGUAAUGUCUCAUUCUCACUGAAGUAUCUCAUUAGAAGUAUCUGGGAAAUUGAUUCCUCAUUCACCUAAUAUGGAGUUCAGUUAACUUCAUCAGCCUAAACAGUGGGUCCUUGGUCUGGACUUCCCUUCAAGGCAGAGGAAAGGGGGAGAUGGCUCCAGGGUCAGGGUGUCUCACUGAGUAAGUUAAUACUUGAGGCUGGGAGACAGCUCUUACCUCACUAAUCAGGAAGUUUGUACAAUCAGUUUUGAGUCACAGAUGUGAAGGUUCCCCAGCCACUGAUGCAAAUGGAAAGGUUUUUAACCACAUAUUUCAGUUAACUCUUAGAUUUGCUUGAUGGCUUUGGUAUGAGAGAUCUAAAACUUGUAGAUGAGAAGCUCCUCCUGUAACAGGGUGGUUGGGCACUGAACACCCACAGGCACCAGCACCAGGGUGUGCCUGCAGCAUCCAGCUGUUCUAAAUGUUGCUGUGACUUUCUUUCAGUCUCCAUGGCAAGUGAAUUUGGUUUCUUUAACCUAUUCUUAUGGCUCUGAACUAACAGCAAUUUUAAGCACACCUAGCUCAGCUUCAUGUUGCCAAAUCCUGUCUACUUUAAUUAAUAACAUUCAGCAAAUUAUGGGGGCUGUCCUGUGACUUGUUGCUGUAAGGAGCUUCUGGAUAUAUAGAGUUGGAUCCCAAAACCAGGGGCAUUCUCCACAGUAACCAGUGGUUAUGAACUUGUACCUGGCAACCUGAUCCCUUUGAAAAAACAUUUCAGAGUAACCCGUAAGAAGUAAUGCUGAAAUGAGAGAGAAAAGUCCUGUAAAUUUUCCCACACAUGCAGCACUCAGUCUGGGAUCCCUAGUAAUGUAAACUUCAUUUUCUGUGCAAGAUUUUACUGCAUUUAGUACCAAAAAGAAAAGCUUAAGCUAACAACAAAAACCAACAUCUUAAGCAGAGAGCAAUAUAGUUUAAAAUCUUGAGGUCAACGUAUUAGUGCUUCAAGAAGAGUGAGUGCACCUGGGCUUGGCCAGCUGUCUCUCUGGGAACUGUGGGGUUUUUUCUCUUCUCUGUUGUGCCCUAGUAUCCAAAACAGACACUUUUCAUGAAUGUGCUGGCAAGGAACAGCGUGUGAUGGGAUUAGUGAUGAGGCGAAGCCAAAACACUUAUCAAUAUUGUAUCUGUUUACUUCCUCAAAGAAGGCUCCCUUCAGAGGCACGUGCCUCUUCACUUGUAACCAAACCCUCUGUGCUCUCCCUCGCUUGUUGAAAAUUGAUUUGCACAUGCUUUGCUCCAGUGGAAGUCUCUUGGCUUGUCCCUGUGAAAUGUCACUGCUGGUGGGUGUAGCUGGGCGUGGGUGUUCCCUGCCCUUGGGAUGCUGGCACGGCACACGGGUCACACGCCUGCCUCGAGGAGUGGCUCUGUCCAGUCCAUCAAGGCUCCCCGAGUGCCACAAAAAGGGUAGUUGUGUCUUUAAAAAAAAAAAGGGGGAGCUUUCAGGUCCCAGUCUUCUCUACUUGCUCCUCCCCAGGGAAUGGACGCAAUUUGACCUUCCUAUAUUAUUUUGAACUAGGAAUAAGCCUUUGAUGGAAAGGUGGAAAAGCGCAGUGAAAAAAAUUCCCAGGAUCAUGUAAGCUGUAGCUAAUGAAAUGUGGAUUUACGUGACCACCCAUAGCUGAUGCACAUUUUAUGCUUGACUUCUUCCAUGUGAUGAGUCCACUGCUAGCAGGGGCAAUAGUUUCAAUUAUAUGCUCCAUAUUUUUUAGGACCUUGUACACUGCCCAGACAUAAGGGAACUAAUCCACGAAGUGUGCAAAUGAAAUGAAUCUAAGUUCUUACCUGAAGCAGUAUCCAGGCAAAGUAAAAAACUAAGCCAAAUGCUUUUUAAAAGCUUGAAAAUGACAAUAAUUAGCUCAUGUUUUAAUGUUAAUACAUUCUGGCCAUGUGCGUAGUAUUGUAAUGCUCAUAAUAAGUGCAAAAAUGGGGAGAAUAAGUCCAAAUUUUUAAUUUUUAAAAAAGUCAUAAACUGGACUUUGUGUGAAUUCUUUGGGGUGUAUGAGCACAGGAGUAUUCUUACAUUCUUUCCACUUAUUUGACCUCAAAGAACUGGUAAAUGGAGAGCUCCAGAACACCUGAUAGAUCUACUUAAAGCUCCAGGUCAGUAGCAUGCUUAAGCACAUGCUUAACUUAAAGCAUACAAUUAAUCACAUCCCUUGUCCACAGAGUAAUUAAACUUGUGCUUAUGUACUUUGUACAGCACAGUACCUGCCUGCAGGCAUUCUCUGAAUAAUGCUGUGCCUGAGAAAGUGGUGAAUCAGAAAGUGAUUUUUGGCUGGAGUUUGAAAAUGAGCUUAAAAGAGUGAGUUAGGCACCCAGAACUUGUUAGAUUUGAAUAGCUACGGAAAAGCUGGUCUUCUCAGCAAAGCCGAGUAAAUAGCAAGGUGUGGCCAUUUACUUUACGGUAAUGCCUCAGUUUUGUUUAAAUGAAAUUAUUUUAAAAACCCUUUUGCUUGGUAAUUCUCUGCUGCUCUCCUAUAACUCUGCUUCCCUCAGUGCUGGGCAGACCAGCAGAGCCCAGGUGGGGCAGCCUCUUGCUGGCAGCUUCUCUCUUAACUCACUGGUUAUGAUUUAGGUGGGCCAGCACUGGCAGGUCAAGGCCAGCAACAUGGCUGCUUUUCCUGUCAUUGAUCAGUCUGGGCAGGGCUCUGUGGGAACACACUCCUCUGGAGCCAUCACGCAUAGGGGCACUGCUGGUCAUUAUCCAUACCCCUCAGCCCUCUCCAGCUGCUUCAGCACUGCUGGGGCUAGAGCCUUGGGUUACAGCUGCACUACUGAACCCACCAGCCAGUGGUACUGAGCGUGGUCCUGGGCAGAACUGUGACCUGGGACUCCUCCAGCCAGUACUGGACAUUGUCUGAAACUCAGCAAGAGCAAUGGGCCAUUAUCAAGAGGCUGCUUCAAUGUGUCCCCUUUCCCCCCUUCUUUUGGAGACUUUAACAAGACAGCAGUGGCCAGACUGGGCUGGCUGGCCAUGCCCUGGUUAAUUUGCUAGGAAUCAUGGAGCCUCUUCCAGCAACAGCUCCUCCCCUGGCUUUUUUCUCCUACUGCUCUACUCUUCUCCCUUCCUGUCCCUGUCCUGGUGCCAGCCAGUUUGAUGUGUCAGCCAUCACACCAGCGAGCUCCCACCUGAGCUGCUCUGGGUGGGUGAUUUGACCAGGCAGCACUGCCAUCUUCUUUGCCAACCUCAGCCAGGUCAUGGUCUCUUGCGCCUUGAGUGUAAUGUGGCAGCCUCUAGUAGCUUGUUGAUGACUAAUUGUUUUAUUUUAUAUACUUUAAGUCAGCUGCUUUAAUCUGCUUUUUCUCCAAGGCUCUGUGUAUAAAUGCUAGUGAGGUCACCAUGCUGAGGCUAACCAGGGCAGCAUUAAAAGCUCCUCUUUGAAAUAUUGUCACCUGGGUAUCUGAAUGGUGGGAGGCUCCUUUGCAAAGCAGUCUCUAUGGAAAGUCUGUGUAAUGUGUUUGAUUAUCCAACCUUGCCAUUUUCAAAGGGACCCAGUCAAGAUGAACAGAGCCUAGAUGUACCAUCUCCUAAAAAUAACUCUGGCUUUCUAGCUCUUCUGCUGAUGUUGGGAGUGGGAGAAAAAAAAAGUGAUGCUCCAAAAAGGGGAUUGUAAAGACAGGAGAUGUCAAAUGCACGUGGUCAAACCCACCUCUUGUCAGCCCUGGAUAAGCACGCUGGAGGAUGGGUGAUCUACCAGUGGUGCUCCACUGUUCCUGCCCUUUUGGGUCCCAGGCAGCUUCCCCCGGGCACUGGCUUUCCCGGCCAGGAGCUCAGCUGGGCAGCUCUGCUGGAGACAGUGACAAUGGGGACAUGGUCUGUUCCUUGGCAAAGUGAGACACUUCCUGAAUUCUCCUAAUGUGUGUAUUUUUAAUUUUUUGUGGGUGAGGGACAGGGGCAGAACUGGCCAGGAUGGAUCACAGUUCUCACUGUGCAUUCCUUUUGUGCUGUACAGUUAAUACUUUCCUGGGGACUGCUCCAGUAAUUUUCAAGACGGUGAUCAGCCUGAUCUUGGUUUUGAGAGAAAAAUCAGAGCCACCCCUUGUUCCAGAAAGCAAACCCCACAAUUCAUGGUUUCUGGAAGUUUUGCCAGCAUUUCUCCAAAGCGGCUCAUUAAUUUCAGGGCCAUGCUGAUAUGGGCUGCUCUUUUGGUGUUGUGUCCACUGGCUCAUGCACCUCAAGUCAGCUCCAGGUUUGGGAAGUGUACAGUCCCAGAGUCCUCAGAGCCUUGGUGUACUUUCAGCUGCUCUGAAAGCAGCCCUUCGGCUUCUCCAAGCUACAUGGAUCCAGCACUGCUGCCAUCUACACCCGGAGGCUGAAGCUCUUGUCUGGGCACAGCAGGAUCGGCAGCUGCCCAGUUAAAAGGCUCAGAUCUCUCCUGCGAGUGGGUGUUACUCACUUGGUAAUACCAGUCCAUUCCAGCUGAGGAUCUGUCCCUUUGUUUUGUGUAUGGGACAAUUUGUUUUCAAUUUUUCUUUCUGAAAGGAAACUGUCAAGACAAAAUUCACACUUAAAAAAAUUAAGGGAAACAGCCUUUUGUCCGUUUCUAACAAUCCCCUUCCAUGACUAAAGCUGGAAGAAUUCUAGAAACUGCAAUAAUUUUCUACCUUCACUUUGGUUUUGUUCUGCUCUUGCAUUUUCUAAGUUUCAGAUACAGCAUAACAAAAAUAAUUUGAGUUAACAGUGUAACCUAGAGAUGUGUGCUUUAAUCAUCAGAAUCUGAUUGUGCUUUAUCUGGAAGUGGGACGGGGGCAGCAGGGACCUUAGGCAAUAUUCACUCUUCUUGCAGUGCACAGCCUGGUGCUGGCUUUGCAGUCCAAGAGAGAACAUGCAAAACCUCUGUGGAGGGUGUUCCCCUUCAGCACAUAUCCGUGCUCACUCAAUUCUGCCAAUGACCCAAUGCCAGUCAAAUAAAACUGGGGGUGAGACAGCCUGCCCAGGCUGCAACAACUCCAGUUACUGCAUUUCUGUGCCCUGGGUCUGCUCUGCCUGCUCGUGGUGGGGUCCUGGCUGCCGGGGAGCUUGUGCUCUCCCUGGGGCAGGGGCUCAUCAGAUUUUCUUCCAUAGUGGUACAGCAGCCAGUGCUGCAGGAACCUGGUCCUGCCUGGGGCCCCCCUCAACUAGAAAGAAUUGUUUAUUGUCAAUCCAAGGAGAAGAAAAUAAAAACAAAAAACUUUUUAAUAUAAUAACAACAUGCAUCUCAUUUUCAUUUUAGUCCUAAAAACUACUUGAUGCUCAUUCCAAAAGAAUUGAUUCCUUAAAUGAAUGAAGCAGCCAGGAGUGCUGCUUUCAGUGUGGGACUACUGAUGCUCUGACUCAUGUUCUGCUUCUCCCGGGCUCUGGCUUUUAUGCUUCAUUUAGGACACCAACGUCAUUAGCAUUUAGAGGGCUGCUGCCUUUUUAUUAUUAUUAUUAUUAUUAUUAUUAUUAUUGUUGUUGUUGUUGUUGUUACACUACUGUUGUAACUUUCUCAAAAAUGCAAAUAAUAUUUGGAUUCAAUCAUGGCUCAUGUUUGAUUACCAAAUCAAGGCAUAGGGUUUGCUUUCAGUUGACUUACAGAAGAAAUUGUAAAUGAAAAUAAGGUGUGGCUCUGUGUAGUUCUGAGAGGGUCUCCACGGUUUUUGGAUGCCAAGUUGUCUGUUACCUUGGAGUUUCAUCCCAUGUGGGAUGGGUGAGGAUGUCUUGUGUUGCAGAGGACUGGGACCUUUGUGACUCCCCAGGCAUCCCUGGUCACACCAGCUGCAUGUGUAUCCCCGGAGAUGGCUUGUGUGAAUGGCAGCACCUGCAAACAUGAUGCUGGCUAAGGGUCCCUUGCUGAGACACCAGUGUGGUGCUUUUUCUACAAGACGAAGGAAAAGAAGAAAAGCCCUGAGAGUGCUGAGGGGUUCCCUGCUUUGACACAAACUGUCCUGGAAAUCCUUGAGCAUGUCACAAAGUCCUUCUCAAGGGCAACAGCUUGCAGGGAUGCUUGCAAGCCCAUUAUGGGAUGGGGCCCACCCCAGCUCUCUACAGGUAGAAUUCAUGGGGCAACAACAGAGCAGAACUGUGAGAAUCUGCCUGUAGUUUCUGUUGAGUCCACUGUCUUCAAAAUACUGAUUGUUGCCCUAAGAACAUGAAGGGCUGGGGUGGGAUUUCCAGGAGGACUUAUGAAUGAGGGUUGAAAAUUCCCAGCCAAAUACUUAGCCCCUUUUUAGUUGGAAAUGUAUAGAUCUUCCUCAGAUAUUACUUUAGCUGAAAGUUGUUAAGAAAUCAGAAGUAAUUCCCUAAAAUUCUCAGCCUUUUUUAAUAAAUUAAAGGCAACUGCUACUGCAGAUGGAUGUGAACUUUCCUGCUGGGACCUGAGUGCUGCAAGUCCCCAGGGGAGCUCCAAGUGCCCCUGGGGUUGCAGAGUAUGACCCAGUGUGGGAUGUGUGGGGCCAGUCAGCCCUGGGGUCUCCACUUCCCCUGGCCAGAGACCACUGCUCACGUGGGUGCCGGAACAAGGAGUAAUGAUGAGGUAAUCCUGCCUUUUGCCCCUCUGGCUGGGGUGUUCCAGGGCUGCCUGCAGCGAGCUGUGCCAGGCUCCAUUUGGUGGCAUCCUUGCAAGUGACAGACGAGCCAUCUGGCAUUCCACUGAAACUCAGCAUGGCAUUCACUUAAAAGGAGCCCACAGGGAUGGCAAAGCAGUUGCACACCUUCCCCUGCCACGUGGGCUGGGCGCUGGGGCACUUCUGGGCACAUCAGCAGAGCCAUGUGUGCCACGCUGGAGAGAACGGACCCUGUCAGACCCUUCCCUCCUGGGGACCGACUGAGCGGCAGCAAGAAAAAUGAGGGACUUUCAGGGGCAGCUGUGUUUUACUAACCCAGUCAUAAUGCCCCUAAAAAUCCUUAUUGUUCUUGCAAUAGUCAACUGUGGCACAGGGAGGCCUGGAAGGAGAGCUCGAGGGCAGAAGGCCCUCGGGAAGGAGGGCAGUCAGGUUGGAGCAGGGUGUCAGGCUGGGGACAGUGUUUCUGUAGGAACGGAACUACAAGGACAUGGAGUUGUUACCCGUGGUGUGGAGCAUGUGCUUCUUAUGAUGCUCAAGGCAUGAGAACUGGAGCGCAAAGAUGGAGAAAUUAAACAAGCUGAGUGCUUUCCCUCCCUAUUGUGUCUGUCUGACAUUUUCCCCCCACCAGAAAUAAAUGCAACUAGAGAGAUGCACCCCAAGCCCACAGAAAGAGCCCUUACCCAAACCAUUCCUCCCCUCCCAAAUCUGUUUUACUCUUCUUUCAGCAAACUCAUUGCAGGUCUCUGGUCAUCCACAGCAUCUUUCUCUGAGCUUUAUUCCUGCUCUCAUAUCUCAGAUCAGACCAUGAUGAAGUAAUUGCGUGCAAGGAAGCAAUUUGUUAAACAGAACCAUAAUAUUCAAUUAUUUGCCAUCUUUAUGAAUUCUAAUACUUUAUUUUCAUUUCUGAGAGCUUCUGUAUGCUGAGUAAAAGUUUUUAUUUUCAUUGAACUCCGCAGCAAUGUUCAAAGCUUUUAUCCUUUUAUAACUCCAGGGGUAUGGAUACACAAAUUAAUGGCUCCCUGGCCCCACAGCAGCAGCAGUCCUUUCACAUUGUCUGUGUGGAUUACUUAUUCAUUACCUUUCUGAAAAGGCUUUGUUUAUGGCUUUUAGCAUUUUUAUCAAUUAAUUGAUAUGUUUAUCAAUUCAUUCUGCUUUAUAUGCUCAUGCCAAUAGAUUAGGAGUGCAUGCUUUUUUCUUUUUUUUUUUUUUUUAACUGGGUUUUAUGGCUCUGGAGCAAGAUUUACUCAUUUGUUAUUUGUCAUUCUCAGGAGCAUUUCAACUGCUUUUCUUAAAGCUGAAUUCUUUAUAAAGGAGAAGUGACUAGAAACCCUGAGCUGAGUCCCAGGUCUGGCUUAACUUUGUAAGGCACACUGACACACCGAGGCUGCUCCACUUAAGGUAUGGUAUGAACCAGGAGCUGAUCCCAUGGCUGUGGAAUGAGUGUUCACAUGGAGUUAUCCUGCUGUAGUUAUUGCAGCUGCUGUGUAAGCAAGUCCCAAAGGACAAACCUUGUUCCAGUGACAGUGUGACAGAUAAGAGAGACAAUGGGCACAAGGAAGGCACCGCUGUCAAUGAAGGAUGGAUUCUGUUCAACCCACAGGGAACAAAGAAACCUGGGCUGCUCAAGGCCACACAGAACUGUCCAGGAGUGUCCUUUGUGCCAGCUGAUUCCAGGAAUGUGACACUUUUGGAACUGUUGUUGUGUUGGGACUUCCUGCUUUGAUUGUGAUUUCUGAGACUUGUGAUUUCUGAGACUGCCUCAUCAUAGGAAACCCCAGAUCUGCUGCUCCUCUCCACAAGGACUUCUGUAUCCAGCAACUCUCCUGUCUUCUUUGCAUACUGAAAUGAGAUGAAAAGGCUUGAAUAUUUCCUUGGAAAGAUGGGUAGAUGGAAUUAGUUAAUCUGUUCUGAUUCUGACACCUACAAGUCAACUGAUCCAAUCACCUCUUCUGCUAACAGGCUGCGAAGCAACAUUUACUACUGUGGAAUAUUCUUUGUGAUGAAAAGAGGAGGAUCGGGAAUGGGGGUUUGUAACUUUUUUUGGAUGAGUUUCUGUUACAAUUUUUAUCUUUAGUAUCAACACUUUAAAUAAGGAUAUUUCUAUGUUAAAAUAAACACAUUUUUUGCCCUGAAACACUGCAAUAUGCCUCCCCAGCCUCUUCCUACAUCAGCUCUGCCACUGUGAAGAGAAGCCACCCAUGGAUUUUAAGGUCAGAAGGACAAGUCAGAACUUCUAAGAGAGGAUGCACACAGAACAACUCCUGCAGUUCAUCCUGCAGCCCAAACCCUGAUGAAUGGAUCUUUUUCUUAUGUGCUGUGGGAACUCUGCCUAUAGAAAUGUCCGAGAAGCUGUUCCAGAGCUUUAUAACCUUGUAUCUUGUUCCUUGUGGCAAGCUGCAAGUUGCCUGCUUAUCCUGGCCUCUGUGGACAAAACCCUCCAUGUGUGUGACUGCACGUGGGAAAUAGGAGAGCGCUGUGGUUUAGUGCUGUUUUUGUCAGAUCUGUUCCCAAAGCAGCUCCCCCAGGUGCCACACUGCCUGUCAGAGAGGAGGGCUGGUGCAGCAAAGGUCUGUAGGUCACUUGGUACAUGGCCAGAGGCUCACAUGCAGGAUCCCUUGUGCACAUCCUGCUGUGGGAUCCAGCCCUGCUGGUCCCUCUUUAGCACUUGAGGACAUUGUCAACAGACCAAAGUGCAUUUCUUAGUGCCCACACUAAGACUUCAAGAACAAAUCUGACUAGAUUGAAUUUUCUUUCUUUUUAAAGUUCAGUGCUACUUAACACCUCCAAUUUAGCUUGGAUAAAAAUCAGAAAUACCUAAAAUACUUUUUAAAGUUCAGUGCUACUUAACACCUCCAAUUUAGCUUGGAUAAAAAUCAGAAAUACCUAAAAUAAAGGUGUUUUGAAAAAUA